CAUACGGGUGGCUGCAGUGGGGAAUAUUGGACAAUGGGCGAAAGCCUGAUCCAGCCAUGCCGCGUGUGUGAAGAAGGCCUUCGGGUUGUAAAGCACUUUCAGUGGGGAAGAAAGCCUUGGGGCUAAUACCCUCGAGGAAGGACAUCACCCACAGAAGAAGCACCGGCUAACUCCGUGCCAGCAGCCGCGGUAAUACGGAGGGUGCGAGCGUUAAUCGGAAUUACUGGGCGUAAAGCGCGCGUAGGCGGUCUGAUAAGCCGGUUGUGAAAGCCCCGGGCUCAACCUAGGAACGGCAUCCGGAACUGUCAGGCUAGAGUGCAGGAGAGGAAGGUAGAAUUCCCGGUGUAGCGGUGAAAUGCGUAGAGAUCGGGAGGAAUACCAGUGGCGAAGGCGGCCUUCUGGACUGACACUGACGCUGAGGUGCGAAAGCGUGGGUAGCAAACAGGAUUAGAUACCCUUGUAGUC
rnacentral:rRNA from 1 species